UAGGGAAUCUUCCGCAAUGGGCGAAAGCCUGACGGAGCAACGCCGCGUGAGUGAUGAAGGUCUUCGGAUCGUAAAACUCUGUUAUUAGGGAAGAACAAAUGUGUAAGUAACUAUGCACGUCUUGACGGUACCUAAUCAGAAAGCCACGGCUAACUACGUGCCAGCAGCCGCGGUAAUACGUAGGUGGCAAGCGUUAUCCGGAAUUAUUGGGCGUAAAGCGCGCGUAGGCGGUUUUUUAAGUCUGAUGUGAAAGCCCACGGCUCAACCGUGGAGGGUCAUUGGAAACUGGAAAACUUGAGUGCAGAAGAGGAAAGUGGAUUUCCAUGUGUAGCGGUGAAAUGCGCAGAGAUAUGGAGGAACACCAGUGGCGAAGACGACUUUCUGGUCUGUAACUGACGCUGAUGUGCGAAAGCAUGGAGAUCAAACAGG
rnacentral:rRNA from 1 species